GUGCAGCAGGCGCGAAAACUUCACACUGUGCGAAAGCACGAUGAGGGAAUCCCAAGUGCUUGCACGUAAGUGUAAGCUGUUUCUCUGUCUAAAACGCAGAGAGAGUAAGGGCUGGGUAAGACGGGUGCCAGCCGCCGCGGUAAUACCUGCAGCUCAAGUGGUGACCGUUAUUAUUGGGCCUAAAACGUCCGUAGCCGGUUUAAUAAAUGCCUGGGUAAAUUGUGUAGCUUAACUAUACGAAUUCCGGGUAGACUGUUAAACUUGAGACCGGGAGAAGUUAGAGGUACUCCUGGGGUAGAGGUGAAAAUUCUGUAAUCCUAGGGGGACCACCAGUGGCGAAGGCGUCUAACUAGAACGGGUCUGACGGUGAGGGACGAAGCCCUGGGGCGCAAAACGGGGAUUAGA
rnacentral:rRNA from 1 species